ensembl:lncRNA
CUCACACAGGGGUGACCCCACUGUCACCCCACAGCCGAGCAGCGCAGCCUCUGCCCCCAUGGGAUGGGACGGAGCGCCGCACCCCACGGCCCCCCCGGGGGUGAGUGCUGCGUGGGGGGGGGGCACCCAGAGGGACCCCCUUUGGGGAUGGCACCCCUCUAUUUUGGGGUCCCCCCCCAUUCUGGGUACCCCUCCCCACCUUUUGGGCUCCCCCCUCUAUUUUGGGGUCCCCCUCCAUUCUGGGUACCCCUCCCUACCUUUUGGGCUCGCCCUCUAUUUUUGGGUCCCCCCCCCAUUUUGGGAUACCCCUUCCCACCUUUUGAGAUCCCCCCUCUAUUUUGGGGUCCCCCCCCAUUUCGGGAUACCCCUCCCCACUUUUUGGGCUCCCCCCUCUAUUUUGGGGUCCCCCCUCCCACCCCCCCCCCCAUUCUGGGUACCCCUCCCCAUUUUUUUGUCUCCCUCCUCUAUUCUGGGUUUUUUCCCCCCCAUUUUGGGGUGCUCUCCCCAUUUUUGGGGUCCCCCCCCAUUUGAAGACCCCCCCUCCCCCCCCAGACGUGGAUGAGUGCCUGAUGUUUGCGCCCCACCUGUGCCGGGGGGGGGUCUGCAUCAACGCAGCCCCCGGCUUCAGCUGCUACUGCCCCACGGGGUACUACUAUGAGCGGGAGCACCUGCAGUGCGUCGGUGGGUGCCCCCUAAUCCCAAUCCCAAUCCCAACCCCAUUCCAAUCCUAAUCCCAUCCCUAAUCCCCAUUCCAAUCAUAAACCCCAGUCCCAAUCCUAAUCCCAACCCCACCCCCCCAUAAUCCCUAUCCUAAUCCCACUCCUAAUCCCAACCCUACCCCCAUAAUCCCAAUCCCAACUCCACCCCCCACCAUCCCACUCCCAAUCCCAACCCCCAUAAUCCCUAUCCUAAUCCCACUCCCAAUCCCAACCCUACCCCCAUAAUCCCAACCCCAACUCCACCUCCCACCAUCCCAAUCCCAACCCCACCCCCCAUAAUCCCAAUCUUAAUCCAAAUCCCAACCCCACCCCCAUAAUCCCGCCCCCAUAAUCCCAAUCCUAAUCCCAACCUCACCCCCCAUAAUCCCAAUCCCAAUUCCCAUAAUCCCAAUCCCAACCCUAUCCCCCAUAAUCCCACCCCCAAAAUCCCAAUCCCAACCCCAACCCUAUCCCCCAUAAUCCCAAUCCUAAUCCCAAUCCCAACCCUAUCCCCCAUAAUCCCACCCCCAAAAUCCCAAUCCCAAUCCCAACCCUAUCCCCCAUAAUCCCACCCCCAUAAUCCCACC